rnacentral:rRNA from 1 species
GACGAACGCUGGCGGCGUGCCUAAUACAUGCAAGUCGAACGAGUGGCGGACGGGUGAGUAACACGUGGGAACCUACCCAUCAGAGGGGGAUAACUACUGGAAAAGGUGGCUAAUACCGCAUACUACCGGAUUAACCUUUAUGGGAUUAGCUAGUAGGUGGGGUAAAGGCGAACCUAGGCGACGAUCUCUAGCUGGUCUGAGAGGAUGAUCAGCCACACUGGGACUGAGACACGGCCCAGACUCCUACGGGAGGCAGCAGUGGGGAAGAUUGCACAAUGGGCGCAAGCCUGAUGCAGCCAUGCCGCGUGUAUGAAGAAGGCCUUAGGGUUGUAAAGUACUUUCAGCGGGGAGGCGUUACCCGCAGAAGAAGCACCGGCUAACUCCGUGCCAGCAGCCGCGGUAAUUC